rnacentral:rRNA from 1 species
UUUGAACGCUGGCGGCAUGCCUUACACAUGCAAGUCGAACGGCAGCACGGGAGCAAUCCUGGUGGCGAGUGGCGAACGGGUGAGUAAUAUAUCGGAACGUGCCCAGUCGUGGGGGAUAACGUAGCGAAAGCUACGCUAAUACCGCAUACGAUCUAUGGAUGAAAGCGGGGGAUCGCAAGACCUCGCGCGAUUGGAGCGGCCGAUAUCAGAUUAGGUAGUUGGUGGGGUAAAGGCUCACCAAGCCGACGAUCUGUAGCUGGUCUGAGAGGACGAACCGCCACAAUGGGGAUUGGAACACGGCCAGGAUCCUACGGGAGGCAGCAGUGGGGAAUUUUGGACAAUGGGCGCAAGCCUGAUCCAGCAAUGCCGCGUGCAGGAUGAAGGCCUUCGGGUUGUAAACUGCUUUUGUACGGAACGAAAAGGCUCUCUCUAAUACAGGGGGCUCAUGACGGUACCGUAAGAAUAAGCACCGGCUAACUACGUGCCAGCCGCCGCCGUAA